UACGGAGGGUGCAAGCGUUAAUCGGAAUUACUGGGCGUAAAGCGCGCGUAGGUGGUUUGAUAAGCGAGAUGUGAAAGCCCCGGGCUUAACCUGGGAACGGCAUUUCGAACUGUCAGGCUAGAGUAUGGUAGAGGAGUGUGGAAUUUCCUGUGUAGCGGUGAAAUGCGUAGAUAUAGGAAGGAACACCAGUCGGCGAAGGCGGCACUCUGGACCAAUACUGACACAUGAGGUGCGGAAAACCGUGGGGAAGCAAACACGGAUUAGAUACCCGUGAGUCC
rnacentral:rRNA from 1 species